rnacentral:rRNA from 1 species
AAGUCGUAACAAGGUUUCCGUAGGUGAACCUGCGGAAGGAUCAUUACAGAAAGUAAACGCGGAUCACACCGCGAACUUCUAAACCUUUGACGAUUGACUCAUGUUGCCUCGGCGGGUUCUCCCGCCAGAGGAUACAUUAAAACUCCUGUAUUCAACGGUGUUGUCUGAGCUACAAGCAACGAAUCAAAACCUUCAACAACGGAUCUCUUGGUUCUGGCAUCGAUGAAGAACGCAGCGAAAUGCGAUAAGUAGUGUGAAUUGCAGAAUUCAGUGAAUCAUCGAAUCUUUGAACGCACAUUGCGCCCCUUGGUAUCCCGGGGGGCAUGCCUGUUCGAGCGUCAUUUCACCACUCAAGCCUGGCUUGGUGUUGGGCGACGUCCCCUUCAGGGACGCGCCUCGAAACGCUCGGCGGCGUGGCACCGGCUUUAAGCGUAGCAGAAUCUUUCGCUUCAAAAGUCGGGGCCCCGUCUGCCGGAAGACCUACUCGCAAGGUUGACCUCGGAUCAGGCAGGGAUACCCGCUGAACUUAA